UACAGAGGGUGCGAGCGUUGUCCGGAAUCACUGGGCGUAAAGGGCGCGUAGGUGGCGGCCCAAGUCCAUGGUGAAAGCUCGAUGCUCAACAUCGAGUCGGCCACGGAUACUGGGUUGCUCGAGCACUGUAGGGGCAGAUGGAAUUCCGGGUGUAGCGGUGGAAUGCGUAGAGAUCCGGAAGAACACCGGUGGCGAAGGCGGUCUGCUGGGCAGUGCUGGACACUGAGGCGCGACGAGCGUGGGAGCAACAGGG
rnacentral:rRNA from 1 species